AAUGAGGGAACGGAACUGAGGAC
rnacentral:piRNA from 1 species